CGUGCAGGUACUGCUAGAUUUUCUCAACUUGGGCAGAGCUGUCUAGAGCUCCUUAAGUUAUGCAGAGCAAAAAGACUGAAGGAGCCUGAUUCCUUGACACUGUGGAACACCAUUACCAGCCCUGGACUUCCUCCUCCAGAUUUCUCUUUCUCUUAGAAAGAAACAAAUACCCUGAGAGUAGACAUGCAGGCAGGUCGCACAAGUGAAGAAUCGGAACACCUUUAGAUAGGCAAGCAGCACCCCUCUAUUUCUUGCCUCUGCGUCUGUCUGUGCUUCUGUUUUGUUUUCUUUCAGAGCCUACUGCUGUGCAUGAAGGUGGUAUGGACUCAGAACUCUGAAGUCUGAGGAGACAAAUACAUGCCCACCACCACAUCACCACACAAUACCUAGAGUCAAAACAGUUACCCCAUUCCUACCCCCAACUGAGUUAUUCAAUAAAGCCUGCAUUAUUGAAUCUGUUUUCCCAUGUAUAGUUUAUAUAGUUACAUAAUAAUUAGUUUUUCCCAUAUACUUAGGAUAACUACAUGUAAUUUAGUAUUGUGCUGUUUUCACUUAUAUAUCACCUACAUUUUCCUGAUACAGGUACAUAGCCUUUAUAUUUGUCCUUUUUCUCUUGACUGCUAUGUUUCUCAAAUGGAUAUACUGUCAUUUCCUAAGCCAGUUAUAUAUUGUUGAACAUUUAAAUUACUCCCUUUUUUGUUUUGUAAAUAAACAUCAUUAUGAUAUA